rnacentral:lncRNA from 1 species
CUCUUUCCAACCUUCUGUAUCACCUCUUCCCCAUGUAACACAUCUCCAUCUCAAUCAGGAGACAACCAUGAAGAAAACAAGAAGAUUUAGGAUAAAACCUAGUGCAGUAGAUCUGGAUGCAGGAACCCUAGGCGACUUUCUUUUCUCCUCCACGAACCACAGCUUUGAUACCAAAUGUUGGAGAUUAUGCUAGACCGUGCGUGGCAUUUGGUGAUUAGCUAGCAACCAAAAGAGAAGAUUGUCUAUAUACAGAAGCAAAGAAUUCGUAGAUUGAGAAUCGCAAAGAAAAAGAAGUGAACGAGAG